ensembl:snoRNA
UUCAUUCUGUAAUUUGUAAGUGUUAUGAUUGGGUGUUCACACACAUGUGUUAGAUGUGCCUCCCCUGGACAUGUUACCAGCCUGAUG